GAAUGUGAGGGCCAGCUGACUGCUUUGUCUGUCACCCCAAUGAUCUCCAGUGUUGACUCAGCUCAUCUGGCUGGCUUGGCAGGUGCCCCUUCCUCCCUCACCACAUCAUGUUUAUUCCUCUGAAGUAUCACCCUCAGUAGCAAAGGAAAGCCUUUGCCAAGGCAGGCAUGCUGCUCUUCAUUCAGGAGUAAAGAGUAGCUGUGCUUCCCUGUCUGAACCUCCAAACAAACUCUCAAGGAUGUGAACUCGGGGCUGGAGCAAUAGUACAGUGGGUAGGCCGUUUGCCUUGCACGCAGCUGAACC
rnacentral:snRNA from 1 species